ACCAGACAAAGCUGCAGGCAAACACAUGUAUGGCAUAAAGAAAGUACCUUCCUGCAUCCCCAGAAGGUGAGGAUGAAGAAACGAUCAAUGCUCACAUCAAGAUGCUUCAGAAUGAAUCCAGAAAAACAAGACAGGACAGCUUGAUGAUAGACAAUCUACUAACUUUAGCCCAUAGGCGCAAGGGUAUCAUCAACAGCAACUGGACUGAAUCCUACUUGAAGGAUAUGUACCCUUACCUUUUCCAUGAAGAUGAGAGUUUGAGAGACUGUCAGAGGACCCAAUUAAGCAGAAGUUGGAAGCAGGACAUUUGAAUAUGCUGAUCCAUUACUAGAGAUAUGUAAGACUCCCAAGCAAGGUUUGGAGCUCAAAAACCUGAUCUUGGCUGCAGCAGCAGAAAAUGAAGACACCAGGAAAAUGAUCAAAUCAUGUGGAGCACUUCUGUUGAUUCCUACUAUUUUUGGAGAGAAGGCAUUGCUUUGUCAGCAUAGCCAGGAUAAAAAACGGAACAAUCGCCAAAAUCAUCUACAAAAGUAAGCCCGACAGUGCAGGUCUGACUCUGAGCAGUGAUCAUGAAAAAUUCACGGAAAUUCUGCAAUCAUCCUAUAUUACAGCAGAGAAUGAAGUCAUCUGCGAGAAAACCACCUACCUCAUGUCAGCAGUCUCUCUGCUUAUGUCGGCCCAUUAUGUAUUCAACUGAUCAUACACCCCCAAGAUGGGUAACACCCUCACAUUCAUUCAGAAGAUUCUGAUGAACAUAGAUUCCACAUCUCAACCCUCAUCCAAGGUCGUAAGAAGCCUGUAGUUCUUCAGUUUAAGAGAAAUUAAUUACUUGGGUGAUGCUACUGCAACACAGCUGAUCACACUUUCUCUACGUGCAAUCACCUUAGGUGUUGUAUCUGUCUUUUAUGUGCAAAAUAGAUUGAAAUAGAUACGACAGGUUGACCGUGAAUUUAGACAUCAAGUAUGUGCAUUAUUUCGCUUUGCUUCAGUACAAAUUUCAGUGGCCCUUGAAUUGGAAAUCUUUUCAUAUCCCAAGAAUUACGUAUAAAUGCUUAAUGAAAUUUUUGUCACAGAUAAAAUAGGAUUUUGCACACACAAAAAAGAAAAGAUAUUUGGACCCAAAAUUUUUACAGAUCAGAUGGUCAACAAUUUUUUUUUUUUUGGGGGGGGGGGGAAUUGAAGACUAAGCUAUUAAUAUUCUACUUUUUGAUUUUUGUACACAUUUUGUUACUGUACAUGUAAAUAAGUUUAACACCACAAAUUCGAAGAAUUACAACAUUUUAAAGGUUCUCUAUGGAAUUUUAGUUAGUUUGUAAGUUUCAAGCAACUUAGUAUUUAAUUCCAAGAAUUAUACAAAGGCACUUUUCAAGAUUAUGGCUUCCAACAUCAGUACAUGAUGGAAACAAUUCUCAAUGUUUACAUUUAUUGAGAUGGUAAGCACAUGCAACUGAUUUGAAACUAAUUUUAUAAAUUUGACAAAGCACUGUCAUUAAUUUUAAGCCAAUCUGCACACUUCCAAGCAUGUCAAAAGUAUUGCUUAAUAGCCCAAUCACCACAAUUAUCAUUGCCUUUAAAAAAAAUUGCACAAAAAUAUUUAAAUAGAAAAGGUCAGUAUCUGCUUGAAGAUACAGCUGCUAUAGGAGGCAGAUUUUGCGGAAAAUACCAGGGCUUCACAGUGAGAGAAAUGGUAUUAAGAAUGGGGGAUUCUGCGAAGUGCUUUAAAAAUUAAUUGAGAAUCCAAAUUGCACAUUUUGAAAUUGUCUUUUGUACUAUUAGUAGUAAAAUAUUUUUGUGGGUUUUCCUACAGCAAAAAUUGACAUUUGGGGGAUUCCCGUGUCAUGCAUGGGGAUUCUUAAAUUUAAAUUGUGUUUGUACGUAUGCUUAAGUUUGAAAAAUUUCUGAAUUUUAGGUUUCUGGAAAGCUGUUAUUGGUUUUGAAGUACCAAAACAAUGGUAUUGUGUUGUAAGCAGAGUCUUAGGAAUUCAUGUUUGAAGGUUUCACUUAUAGUGAAUUGUUUCAAAUUCAGUAAAUUAUGAAUUUCAGUGAAUUAUGAAUUGUUUCAAUUUCAGUGAAGAAAUGAUACUAUAAAAAAAUUAUGAUUUCAUUGAAUUGUUUCAAUUCCAGUGAAUUAUGAAUUUCAAUGAAUUAUGAAUUGUUUCAAUUUCAGUGAAGAAAUGUUACUGUAAAAAAUGUACGAUUUGGGAAGAGAUUUUUGUGAAGUACGAUAUUUGAAUUACAGUGGAAUCUCAUUAUAACGAGGUCGAAACAUUGUUAUAUCAGGGUAAAAAGAAAAGUUAUUAAGGAUAAUUACUGUGAGAAAUAAUGGACUAUCAUUAUCACACUCUCUCCAAUUUCAUAGACGUUUUGUGACAGCUUUAUCUUUGUUUAGUCGGUUAAACCAUGUUGCCAAUCAGUUAUAAAAUCUAUCACUCUCUCUUGAUAGUUUUAUUUUUUAUUUGAUGAGAGGUAGCAGUGCACUUAUUUACAUGUUUGGUGACUGGAUUCUAUGCUUGAGAAUAGAUUUUAUUAUAGAAAGAAAUGCACAUUAAACAUAAUUAUUUUUCAAGUAAACUCUUAAACAUUUAUCCCAUGAAACACAUUUCUGUCUGUUGUGGUUACAUCACUGAUGCAUAAUGGUCACUUUUGUUUUGGUAAUAUUGGUGGUGACUCCGGAGAUUUAUUGUUGAGAGGAAAUAAAUCAGAUGGCAUGUACAAUGCA
rnacentral:lncRNA from 1 species